CAUUUGAAUGCCUCUCAACUUCUCCUGCAGACAGAAAGUUGGCCACUGGACAUCUGCAGUUAUCUGCUGGAGACCUCCUCAAGACCCUAGAGGAUAUUACCUGAUCAGAGGGCUGGAAGUGAAGCUAGACAAACUGGAAAUGAGGCUUACAUGUACAUUGGUCAAACUGGACAGUCUCUACGUAAAAGAAUAAAUGGACACAAAUCAGAUGUCAAGAAUUAUAACAUUCAUGAAGCAGUCGGAGAACACUUCAAUCUCUCUGGUCACGCGAUUACAGACAUGAAAGUUGCGAUAUUACAACAAAAAGCUUCAAAUCCAGACUCCAGCGAGAAACUGUUGAAUUGGAAUUCAUUUGCAAAUUGGAUACAAUUAACUUAGGCUUGAAUUGAGACUGGGAGUGGCUAAGUCAUUAUGCAAGUUUCUAUUUUACAGUACUGUACAGAAAGACAAAGCAUCAUGCUGAAGAAAUGGAAGAGGAACGCAGCAAUGUUCUUUGUAGUUCUUCGGCUGUAUGCUUGCCAUUGUCUGCAUAGCAGCCAUUUGUUCUAUGGACGGACAUGAUCUAAAGGAGCAUCAUUUCUAAAUCAACAGUUCUCAAACUUCAUUGCACUGAGAUCCACUUCUGACAACAAAAAGUACUACACGACCCCAGGGCCCUGUAUUACUCUAGAAGAGUUAAUAUUUUAAAUUUAAAAAUGCAUUAAAAGGAUGUAUCUACAAAAAACUAUCCACUAAAUAUUUAAACUCACAAUACAAUUGCAAGACAAUCUUUCUAUCCCAGCGGUAAAAUAAAUUAAAAAA